rnacentral:rRNA from 1 species
AGAGUUUGAUCCUGGCUCAGGAUGAACGCUAGCGAUAGGCUUAACACAUGCAAGUCGAGGGGCAGCAUGGUCUUAGCUUGCUAAGACUGAUGGCGACCGGCGCACGGGUGCGUAACGCGUAUGCAACUUGCCUCACAGAGGGGGAUAACCCGUCGAAAGACGGACUAAUACCGCGUACACUUAGGAUAGGGCAUCCUAUCCCAAGGAAAUGAAAUUCGCUGUGAGAUAGGCAUGCGUCCCAUUAGCUAGUUGGUGAGGUAACGGCUCACCAAGGCGACGAUGGGUAGGGGAACUGAGAGGUUGAACCCCCACACUGGUACUGAGACACGGACCAGACUCCUACGGGAGGCAGCAGUGAGGAAUAUUGGUCAAUGGGCGAGAGCCUGAACCAGCCAAGUCGCGUGAAGGAUGACUGUCUUAUGGAUUGUAAACUUCUUUUAUACGGGAAUAACAAGAGCCACGUGUGGCUCCCUGCAUGUACCGUAUGAAUAAGCAUCGGCUAACUCCGUGCCAGCAGCCGCGGUAAUACGGAGGAUGCGAGCGUUAUCCGGAUUUAUUGGGUUUAAAGGGUGCGUAGGCGGCCUGUUAAGUCAGCGGUGAAAUCUAGGAGCUUAACUCCUAAAUUGCCAUUGAUACUGGCGGGCUUGAGUGUAGAUGAGGUAGGCGGAAUGCGUGGUGUAGCGGUGGAAUGCAUAGAUAUCACGCAGAACUCCGAUUGCGAAGGCAGCUUACUAAGGUACAACUGACGCUGAAGCACGAAAGCGUGGGUAUCAAACAGGAUUAGAUACCCUGGUAGUCCACGCAGUAAACGAUGAUAACUGGGCGUAUGCGAUAUACAGUAUGCUCCUAAGCGAAAGCGUUAAGUUAUCCACCUGGGGAGUACGCCGGCAACGGUGAAACUCAAAGGAAUUGACGGGGGCCCG